rnacentral:rRNA from 1 species
CCUACGGGAGGCAGCAGUAGGGAAUCUUCCACAAUGGACGAAAGUCUGAUGGAGCAACGCCGCGUGAGUGAAGAAGGGCUUCGGCUCGUAAAGCCCUGUUGGUAGUGAAGAAAGAUAGUGGUAGUAACUGGCCUUUUUUCGACGGUAAUUACUUAGAAAGUCACGGCUAACUACGUGCCAGCAGCCGCGGUAAUACGUAGGUGGCAAGCGUUGUCCGGAUUUAUUGGGCGUAAAGCGAGUGCAGGCGGUUCAAUAAGUCUGAUGUGAAAGCCUUCGGCUCAACCGGAGUAUUGCAUCAGAAACUGGUGAACUUGAGUGCAGAAGAGGAGAGUGGAACUCCAUGUGGAGCGGUGGAAUGCGUAGAUAUAUGGAAGAACACCAGUGGCGAAGGCGGCUCUCUGGUCUGUAACUGACGCUGAGGCUCGAAAGCAUGGGUAGCGAACAGGAUUAGAUACCCGAGUAGUC